AAUUCAAAUGAUUCUAUCAUAAGGUUGCAACAUAACAAAAUGGGAAAAAAGUGAAAAAGUCUGAAUACUUUCUGCAUGCACGAAAUAUGUGGUGGCAGUUUUUUUCUGAUUCAUUUUCACAUUACCCUUUUCAACACUGAUAAUAGCUAAUUACACGAAACUUUCUUAUAUUUUUCAGCUCAAUAAGGAUUGGAACAACAUUGACGGGGGGAAACACCCAAAGUCCAUCACUCAUGCACCGAGGAUCUGGCUGAUUACUGGAAAUUUGGAAGAUUGUUCUUUAUCUGCACUGUCACUUCUGUUAUUAAGGAGCAGUGGGCUGCAGUGAUGCGACCAGGAAGCAACUGGG